rnacentral:rRNA from 1 species
AUAUUUCCGUCGCCAACUCACGCAGACGUCGCGACCUGUUCGCGGUCGGUCCCUGCUCGGAGGAGCCGCGUUCGAGUUCGUUGUGUGCGCGUUUCGGCGUGUCACACGGUGAAGGCGCGGAUCUCUGGCUGGCCGUCGGACAGUAUGCUUAACGGUGUCCGGUGUCGUCGUUUCGUACGCGCGGCAUCGGGACCGGUCAGCGACGAAUUCUUCGGGCCUCUUUCCGACCCGUCUUGAAACACGGACCAAGGAGUCUAACAUGCGCGCGAGUCGCGGGGUAUCGAGCGUACUUCGGUGCGUUCGUUAUGUUGCGAAACCCGUACAUGUCGAAGGCGUAAUGAAAGUGAAUGGGGAAGAUGGUGUUCCGAGUUCACGUUCCGCGAUCAUCGGUAUCGCGGCCGGACGCCCGCAUUCCCGGGGCGUCUCAACGGCCCGUCGCUGAUGCGGACAGUCGUCUCUCGGGGCGGCUGUCGGUCGGCGACGAACCGAGGCGCACCUAUAGCGUGCACGUUGGUACCCGAAAGAUGGUGAACUAUGCCUGGCCAGGAUGAAGUC